AAGGAAGUUAGCUUCUUCAUAUGCCCUUGGGGGCUGAGUUUGGGAACCCCUCCCCAGAUAGGGUCCUCCGGCCAGAGGACGAGAGGGAGAGCCAGCAGGCCACUCGGUCCUGCUUCUGUUUCUUCUGCUUUUGCUUUGUGCGAUCAGGGGAAGGACCCCGCAUACGGAGGUAGUUAGGAGCUUUGGGGACGCUCUGGAGCCCCUGUUUUAAAGGGGAGGCCAAGCGUGCAGAGUCAGGCCGAGGGGCAGAGAUGAAUGAGGCGAUGACCACAGCCGGGCCCGGCCGGCCUGGCGGCAGAGAUGCCCCGGAGGACGAGCUGCGGGGCAGAGACGCGAGCAGAAAAAAACGUUUAUGGCCGCCCGAACGAGGGGCGAGUGAGGCCGGGGCUCCGGGAGGCCCAGGGAAAGUUCCCUUCCUGGGGUCUUUUCUAAAAAAAAAAAGACAGAAGGGAGGGGUUGAGUCGAGGCACGUAGAAUUUUCCUUCGCGGGCUUGGAGCGGAGCGGAUUUCCAUAAAGGAAGAGAAGACCACGGUCCCGGAUCCUUCCACGUCCGCCUCAUUCUCUCCAGCCGGUGACCCAUCUGGUCUGAAAAGAGACGGAGAAAGACACUCUCCACUGAGUCACUUCGUCAAGACCAGCGCACACGGCGAAAGAGAACCGCAGGCGCCCUCGCCUUUGAAAACCACACGGGGCGGAGGACGCCACGAUAACGAAUCGGACAAAAUAACAAUAAAAUAACAAUAAAAUAACACCGGCGGCAGCGCAGAGGGCAGGACGCGCCGAGAGGGCCCGGGGCCGGCGUUCCAGGCGGCCGCCGGGCGAGGCAGCGGCCCCCGGCGAUGGGGCGCCGGGCCGCCGGGCACCGGCUGGCGAGCCGCUCGGUCUCGGCCUCCCCAGCCCGGCCUGUAGACCCCUUCUCCCCGGCCUCCGCGCCCCUCCUGCUUUCGGCUCGGAUGCCCAGUCGGUCGGGGUUUCCCUGGUGCGCGAAUCUGGGGCCUCCGAGGGGGCAAAGUGACUCAAGCCCGACUCCGCUUCAUUUUUCUCCCUAGGCCUCUCCGCUCGCGGGAGCUCUCAGCUACCGGGAGCCCGCCACGCAAGGGGCUGCUGGGCGGCCCGCCACCCGCUCCCACAUGGUUCCCCAAAGUCCAGCGACCUCCAGUCCUCCUUAGGGGAAAAUAUCAGUGCACAGCCACCUCUGCGUCCUCACAUAUGUGACCGUGCUCGCUUCAAGAAUAUCUUACGAAGAAGAAGAAAAGCCGGCUUAGAGCCGUUUCCAUCCAGUUCUAGUGAUCCCUUCGCAUCUGGAGAGUUUAUUUAUAACUCCCACUAUAACUCUCUCUGUUUGGAGGCACUGGUGUCUAUUGACAGACUGAUGUCUAGAAAAUAUUGCUCUGGCUCUGACCGUACCUAAAUGUGCUGUGGUUGUGUUCACAGAUUUAUGCUUCAGGAAAAUAUAAUUAUUUCCAUUGUA